UGAUGACUAAAGUGAUCCUUCCAGGCACUCCAAGGAAUUGAUUUUUUUUUCAAGCUCAAAAAAGACCACUUAGGUCAAAACGUUGCUGACUGUUGGGUUUCAUUAAAUUUUGCCUCAUCAAUUCCUUGGAGUGCCUGGACCUUUUUUCUUUUAUACCUGGUGGAAUUGGGACCUGGUGCUGGUUCCUGAUUUGGUUGCACCCAGGACUGUAUACUUUGGAUUAAGUGCAG